CCUCGAAAGUCCACAUCUAGCUACUGGGUGGUCCGAUUCUGAGUGAUCUCGAAGUUUCUUGCCCACAAAAGCCGAACGGUGACGCCCCAGACUCGGUUUCUUGGUUCCGUCCCAAAACGCCGAAGAAAAGCACAAUGGCCUAGAAAGGGACGGUCGGACUUGGAACGGGGUCCGAGGCCUCGAAAGUCCACAUCUAGCUACUGGGUGGUCCGAUUCUGAGUGAUCUCGAAGUUUCUUGCCCACAAAAGCCGAACGGUGACGCGCCCAGACUCGGUUUCUUGGUUCCGUCCCAAAACGCCGAAGAAAGGCACAAUGGCCUAGAAAGGGACGGUCGGACUUGGAACGGGGUCCGAGGCCUCGAAAGUCCACAUCUAGCUACUGGGUGGUCCGAUUCUGAGUGAUCUCGAAGUUUCUUGCCCACAAAAGCCGAACGGUGACGCCCCAGACUCGGUUUCUUGGUUCCGUCCCAAAACGCCGAAGAAAGGCACAAUGGCCUAGAAAGGGACGGUCGGACUUGGAACGGGGUCCGAGGCCUCGAAAGUCCACAUCUAGCUACUGGGUGGUCCGAUUCUGAGUGAUCUCGAAGUUUCUUGCCCACAAAAGCCGAACGGUGACGCCCCAGACUCGGUUUCUUGGUUCCGUCCCAAAACGCCGAAGAAAGGCACAAUGGCCUAGAAAGGGACGGUCGGACUUGGAACGGGGUCCGAGGCCUCGAAAGUCCACAUCUAGCUACUGGGUGGUCCGAUUCUGAGUGAUCUCGAAGUUUCUUGCCCACAAAAGCCGAACGGUGACGCCCCAGACUCGGUUUCUUGGUUCCGUCCCAAAACGCCGAAGAAAGGCACAAUGGCCUAGAAAGGGACGGUCGGACUUGGAACGGGGUCCGAGGCCUCGAAAGUCCACAUCUAGCUACUGGGUGGUCCGAUUCUGAGUGAUCUCGAAGUUUCUUGCCCACAAAAAGCCGAACGGUGACGCCCCAGACUCGGUUUCUUGGUUCCGUCCCAAAACGCCGAAGAAAGGCACAAUGGCCUAGAAAGGGACGGUCGGACUUGGAACGGGGUCCGAGGCCUCGAAAGUCCACAUCUAGCUACUGGGUGGUCCGAUUCUGAGUGAUCUCGAAGUUUCUUGCCCACAAAAGCCGAACGGUGACGCCCCAGACUCGGUUUCUUGGUUCCGUCCCAAAACGCCGAAGAAAGGCACAAUGGCCUAGAAAGGGACGGUCGGACUUGGAACGGGGUCCGAGGCCUCGAAAGUCCACAUCUAGCUACUGGGUGGUCCGAUUCUGAGUGAUCUCGAAGUUUCUUGCCCACAAAAGCCGAACGGUGACGCCCCAGACUCGGUUUCUUGGUUCCGUCCCAAAACGCCGAAGAAAGGCACAAUGGCCUAGAAAGGGACGGUCGGACUUGGAACGGGGUCCGAGGCCUCGAAAGUCCACAUCUAGCUACUGGGUGGUCCGAUUCUGAGUGAUCUCGAAGUUUCUUGCCCACAAAAGCCGAACGGUGACGCCCCCGACUCGGUUUCUUGGUUCCGUCCCAAAACGCCGAAGAAAGGCACAAUGGCCUAGAAAAGGACGGUCGGACUUGGAACGGGGUCCGAGGCCUCGAAAGUCCACAUCUAGCUACUGGGUGGUCCGAUUCUGAGUGAUCUCGAAGUUUCUUGCCCACAAAAGCCGAACGGUGACGCCCCAGACUCGGUUUCUUGGUUCCGUCCCAAAACGCCGAAGAAAGGCACAAUGGCCUAGAAAGGGACGGUCGGACUUGGAACGGGGUCCGAGGCCUCGAAAGUCCACAUCUAGCUACUGGGUGGUCCGAUUCUGAGUGAUCUCGAAGUUUCUUGCCCACAAAAGCCGAACGGUGACGCCCCAGACUCGGUUUCUUGGUUCCGUCCCAAAACGCCGAAGAAAGGCACAAUGGCCUAGAAAGGGACGGUCGGACUUGGAACGGGGUCCGAGGCCUCGAAAGUCCACAUCUAGCUACUGGGUGGUCCGAUUCUGAGUGAUCUCGAAGUUUCUUGCCCACAAAAGCCGAACGGUGACGCCCCAGACUCGGUUUCUUGGUUCCGUCCCAAAACGCCGAAGAAAGGCACAAUGGCCUAGAAAGGGACGGUCGGACUUGGAACGGGGUCCGAGGCCUCGAAAGUCCACAUCUAGCUACUGGGUGGUCCGAUUCUGAGUGAUCUCGAAGUUUCUUGCCCACAAAAGCCGAACGGUGACGCCCCAGACUCGGUUUCUUGGUUCCGUCCCAAAACGCCGAAGAAAGGCACAAUGGCCUAGAAAGGGACGGUCGGACUUGGAACGGGGUCCGAGGCCUCGAAAGUCCACAUCUAGCUACUGGGUGGUCCGAUUCUGAGUGAUCUCGAAGUUUCUUGCCCACAAAAGCCGAACGGUGACGCCCCAGACUCGGUUUCUUGGUUCCGUCCCAAAACGCCCGAAGAAAGGCACAAUGGCCUAGAAAGGGACGGUCGGACUUGGAACGGGGUCCGAGGCCUCGAAAGUCCACAUCUAGCUACUGGGUGGUCCGAUUCUGAGUGAUCUCGAAGUUUCUUGCCCACAAAAGCCGAACGGUGACGCCCCAGACUCGGUUUCUUGGUUCCGUCCCAAAACGCCGAAGAAAGGCACAAUGGCCUAGAAAGGGACGGUCGGACUUGGAACGGGGUCCGAGGCCUCGAAAGUCCACAUCUAGCUACUGGGGUGGUCCGAUUCUGAGUGAUCUCGAAGUUUCUUGCCCACAAAAGCCGAACGGUGACGCCCCAGACUCGGUUUCUUGGUUCCGUCCCAAAACGCCGAAGAAAGGCACAAUGGCCUAGAAAGGGACGGUCGGACUUGGAACGGGGUCCGAGGCCUCGAAAGUCCACAUCUAGCUACUGGGUGGUCCGAUUCUGAGUGAUCUCGAAGUUUCUUGCCCACAAAAGCCGAACGGUGACGCCCCAGACUCGGUUUCUUGGUUCCGUCCCAAAACGCCGAAGAAAGGCACAAUGGCCUAGAAAGGGACGGUCGGACUUGGAACGGGGUCCGAGGCCUCGAAAGUCCACAUCUAGCUACUGGGUGGUCCGAUUCUGAGUGAUCUCGAAGUUUCUUGCCCACAAAAGCCGAACGGUGACGCCCCAGACUCGGUUUCUUGGUUCCGUCCCAAAACGCCGAAGAAAGGCACAAUGGCCUAGAAAGGGACGGUCGGACUUGGAACGGGGUCCGAGGCCUCGAAAGUCCACAUCUAGCUACUGGGUGGUCCGAUUCUGAGUGAUCUCGAAGUUUCUUGCCCACAAAAGCCGAACGGUGACGCCCCAGACUCGGUUUCUUGGUUCCGUCCCAAAACGCCGAAGAAAGGCACAAUGGCCUAGAAAGGGACGGUCGGACUUGGAACGGGGUCCGAGGCCUCGAAAGUCCACAUCUAGCUACUGGGUGGUCCGAUUCUGAGUGAUCUCGAAGUUUCUUGCCCACAAAAGCCGAACGGUGACGCCCCAGACUCGGUUUCUUGGUUUCGUCCCAAAACGCCGAAGAAAGGCACAAUGGCCUAGAAAGGGACGGUCGGACUUGGAACGGGGUCCGAGGCCUCGAAAGUCCACAUCUAGCUACUGGGUGGUCCGAUUCUGAGUGAUCUCGAAGUUUCUUGCCCACAAAAGCCGAACGGUGACGCCCCAGACUCGGUUUCUUGGUUCCGUCCCAAAACGCCGAAGAAAGGCACAAUGGCCUAGAAAGGGACGGUCGGACUUGGAACGGGGUCCGAGGCCUCGAAAGUCCACAUCUAGCUACUGGGUGGUCCGAUUCUGAGUGAUCUCGAAGUUUCUUGCCCACAAAAGCCGAACGGUGACGCCCCAGACUCGGUUUCUUGGUUCCGUCCCAAAACGCCGAAGAAAGGCACAAUGGCCUAGAAAGGGACGGUCGGACUUGGAACGGGGUCCGAGGCCUCGAAAGUCCACAUCUAGCUACUGGGUGGUCCGAUUCUGAGUGAUCUCGAAGUUUCUUGCCCACAAAAGCCGAACGGUGACGCCCCAGACUCGGUUUCUUGGUUCCGUCCCAAAACGCCGAAGAAAGGCACAAUGGCCUAGAAAGGGACGGUCGGACUUGGAACGGGGUCCGAGGCCUCGAAAGUCCACAUCUAGCUACUGGGUGGUCCGAUUCUGAGUGAUCUCGAAGUUUCUUGCCCACAAAAGCCGAACGGUGACGCCCCAGACUCGGUUUCUUGGUUCCGUCCCAAAACGCCGAAGAAAGGCACAAUGGCCUAGAAAGGGACGGUCGGACUUGGAACGGGGUCCGAGGCCUCGAAAGUCCACAUCUAGCUACUGGGUGGUCCGAUUCUGAGUGAUCUCGAAGUUUCUUGCCCACAAAAGCCGAACGGUGACGCCCCAGACUCGGUUUCUUGGUUCCGUCCCAAAACGCCGAAGAAAGGCACAAUGGCCUAGAAAGGGACGGUCGGGACUUGGAACGGGGUCCGAGGCCUCGAAAGUCCACAUCUAGCUACUGGGUGGUCCGAUUCUGAGUGAUCUCGAAGUUUCUUGCCCACAAAAGCCGAACGGUGACGCCCCAGACUCGGUUUCUUGGUUCCGUCCCAAAACGCCGAAGAAAGGCACAAUGGCCUAGAAAGGGACGGUCGGACUUGGAACGGGGUCCGAGGCCUCGAAAGUCCACAUCUAGCUACUGGGUGGUCCGAUUCUGAGUGAUCUCGAAGUUUCUUGCCCACAAAAGCCGAACGGUGACGCCCCAGACUCGGUUUCUUGGUUCCGUCCCAAAACGCCGAAGAAAGGCACAAUGGCCUAGAAAGGGACGGUCGGACUUGGAACGGGGUCCGAGGCCUCGAAAGUCCACAUCUAGCUACUGGGUGGUCCGAUUCUGAGUGAUCUCGAAGUUUCUUGCCCACAAAAGCCGAACGGUGACGCCCCAGACUCGGUUUCUUGGUUCCGUCCCAAAACGCCGAAGAAAGGCACAAUGGCCUAGAAAGGGACGGUCGGACUUGGAACGGGGUCCGAGGCCUCGAAAGUCCACAUCUAGCUACUGGGUGGUCCGAUUCUGAGUGAUCUCGAAGUUUCUUGCCCACAAAAGCCGAACGGUGACGCCCCAGACUCGGUUUCUUGGUUCCGUCCCAAAACGCCGAAGAAAGGCACAAUGGCCUAGAAAGGGACGGUCGGACUUGGAACGGGUCCGAGGCCUCGAAAGUCCACAUCUAGCUACUGGGUGGUCCGAUUCUGAGUGAUCUCGAAGUUUCUUGCCCACAAAAGCCGAACGGUGACGCCCCAGACUCGGUUUCUUGGUUCCGUCCCAAAACGCCGAAGAAAGGCACAAUGGCCUAGAAAGGGACGGUCGGACUUGGAACGGGGUCCGAGGCCUCGAAAGUCCACAUCUAGCUACUGGGUGGUCCGAUUCUGAGUGAUCUCGAAGUUUCUUGCCCACAAAAGCCGAACGGUGACGCCCCAGACUCGGUUUCUUGGUUCCGUCCCAAAACGCCGAGAAAAGGCACAAUGGCCUAGAAAGGGACGGUCGGACUUGGAACGGGGUCCGAGGCCUCGAAAGUCCACAUCUAGCUACUGGGUGGUCCGAUUCUGAGUGAUCUCGAAGUUUCUUGCCCACAAAAGCCGAACGGUGACGCCCCAGACUCGGUUUCUUGGUUCCGUCCCAAAACGCCGAAGAAAGGCACAAUGGCCUAGAAAGGGACGGUCGGACUUGGAACGGGGUCCGAGGCCUCGAAAGUCCACAUCUAGCUACUGGGUGGUCCGAUUCUGAGUGAUCUCGAAGUUUCUUGCCCACAAAAGCCGAACGGUGACGCCCCAGACUCGGUUUCUUGGUUCCGUCCCAAAACGCCGAAGAAAGGCACAAUGGUCCUAGAAAGGGACGGUCGGACUUGGAACGGGGUCCGAGGCCUCGAAAGUCCACAUCUAGCUACUGGGUGGUCCGAUUCUGAGUGAUCUCGAAGUUUCUUGCCCACAAAAGCCGAACGGUGACGCCCCAGACUCGGUUUCUUGGUUCCGUCCCAAAACGCCGAAGAAAGACACAAUGGCCUAGAAAGGGACGGUCGGACUUGGAACGGGGUCCGAGGCCUCGAAAGUCCACAUCUAGCUACUGGGUGGUCCGAUUCUGAGUGAUCUCGAAGUUUCUUGCCCACAAAAAGCCGAACGGUGACGCCCAGACUCGGUUUCUUGGUUCCGUCCCAAAACGCCGAAGAAAGGCACAAUGGCCUAGAAAGGGACGGUCGGACUUGGAACGGGGUCCGAGGCCUCGAAAGUCCACAUCUAGCUACUGGGUGGUCCGAUUCUGAGUGAUCUCGAAGUUUCUUGCCCACAAAAGCCGAACGGUGACGCCCCAGACUCGGUUUCUUGGUUCCGUCCCAAAACGCCGAAGAAAGGCACAAUGGCCUAGAAAGGGACGGUCGGACUUGGAACGGGGUCCGAGGCCUCGAAAGUCCACAUCUAGCUACUGGGUGGUCCGAUUCUGAGUGAUCUCGAAGUUUCUUGCCCACAAAAGCCGAACGGUGACGCCCCAGACUCGGUUUCUUGGUUCCGUCCCAAAACGCCGAAGAAAGGCACAAUGGCCUAGAAAGGGACGGUCGGACUUGGAACGGGGUCCGAGGCCUCGAAAGUCCACAUCUAGCUACUGGGUGGUCCGAUUCUUUGUGAUCUCGAAGUUUCUUGCCCACAAAAGCCGAACGGUGACGCCCCAGACUCGGUUUCUUGGUUCCGUCCCAAAACGCCGAAGAAAGGCACAAUGGCCUAGAAAGGGACGGUCGGACUUGGAACGGGGUCCGAGGCCUCGAAAGUCCACAUCUAGCUACUGGGUGGUCCGAUUCUGAGUGAUCUCGAAGUUUCUUGCCCACAAAAGCCGAACGGUGACGCCCCAGACUCGGUUUCUUGGUUCCGUCCCAAAACGCCGAAGAAAGGCACAAUGGCCUAGAAAGGGACGGUCGGACUUGGAACGGGGUCCGAGGCCUCGAAAGUCCACAUCUAGCUACUGGGUGGUCCGAUUCUGAGUGAUCUCGAAGUUUCUUGCCCACAAAAGCCGAACGGUGACGCCCCAGACUCGGUUUCUUGGUUCCGUCCCAAAACGCCGAAGAAAGGCACAAUGGCCUAGAAAGGGACGGUCGGACUUGGAACGGGGUCCGAGGCCUCGAAAGUCCACAUCUAGCUACUGGGUGGUCCGAUUCUGAGUGAUCUCGAAGUUUCUUGCCCACAAAAGCCGAACGGUGACGCCCCAGACUCGGUUUCUUGGUUCCGUCCCAAAAACGCCGAAGAAAGGCCCAAUGGCCUAGAAAGGGACGGUCGGACGUGGAACGGGGUCCGAGGCGUCGAAAGUCAACAUCUAGCUACUGGGUGGUCCGAUUCUGAGUGAUCUCGAAGUUUAUUGCCCACAAAAGCCGAACGGUGACGCCCCAGACUCGGUUUCUUGGUUCCGUCCCAAAACGCCGAAGAAAGGCACAAUGGCCUAGAAAGGGACGGUCGGACUUGGAACGGGGUCCGAGGCCUCGAAAGUCCAC
rnacentral:lncRNA from 1 species